UACGGAGGGGGCUAGCGUUGUUCGGAAUUACUGGGCGUAAAGCGCACGUAGGCGGCUUGGUAAGUUAGAGGUGAAAGCCUGGAGCUCAACUCCAGAAUUGCCUUUAAGACUGCCGAGCUAGCAGGUGAGAGAGGUGAGUGGAAUUCCGAGUGUAGAGGUGAAAUUCGUAGAUAUUCGGAAGAACACCAGUGGCGAAGGCGACUCGCUGGACAGGUAUUGACGCUGAGGUGCGAAAGCGUGGGGAGCAAACAGG
rnacentral:rRNA from 1 species